rnacentral:rRNA from 1 species
CCUACGUGUGGCAGCAGUGAGGAAUAUUGGUCAAUGGACGCAAGUCUGAACCAGCCAUGCCGCGUGCAGGAUGACGGCUCUAUGAGUUGUAAACUGCUUUUGUACGAGGGUAAACCCCGAUACGUGUAUUGGGUUGAAAGUAUCGUACGAAUAAGGAUCGGCUAACUCCGUGCCAGCAGCCGCGGUAAUACGGAGGCUCCGAGCGUUAUCCGGAUUUAUUGGGUUUAAAGGGUGCGUAGGCGGUUUGAUAAGUUAGCGGUGAAAUGUCGGGGCUCAACCCCGGAACUGCCGCUAAUACUGUUUGACUAGAGAAUAGUUGCGGUAGGCGGAAUGUAUGGUGUAGCGGUGAAAUGCUUAGAGAUCAUACAGAACACCGAUUGCGAAGGCAGCUUACCAAACUAUAUCUGACGUUGAGGCACGAAGGCGUGGGUAGCGAACAGGAUUAGAUACCCGGGUAGUC